AACCAGGCCCUAGGAAGACAGUCCAGGGCAGGAAAUAUAUGUAAACAGAUGUGUCUUUCCAUACAGAAAUUUUAAGGUUCAUCUUAAAACUGUUGUUCUCUAAAAAAAUUCCCCAGAGCACAGAUCUUGCAAAAUCCAAUCAUUAAAAUAUUCUAAACAACCAGGAGUCACUUAAGAUAUCAGGUUAAAACAGCUCAGUCACCUUUCCAGCCCCCUAGCCCAGGCCAACUCCGACACCGCAGGCCUGGCCCUGAGCUGGGUGCACUGCGGCGGUGGGCGGGGUCUCCCCUGGACAAGUCCACCCCACGCCCAGGCGGGGGGUGGGGGCAGGUGGAGACGGAAACUGGGCCGCCGCUGCCCGGCCCCAGAGAAGGGGCUCGCGCUGCAUUCUGCCGUCCUCGCUGCGGCCGGAGGCCCAGGAGGGGCUCUUACGAUUAGUGUCUGGCAGCGAGAAGCACGGAGGAAUGCAAAGCCCGCAACCGAUGGCCCUCCUGGUUCGCAUCGUUCGAGAAAUUCCUGGUUUCAUUUCCACGGGUCAGCGGCCGACGUGUUAGCACAUCUAGACAUUUUUAUGGUUGAAUUCCUUGUGGAAAAGGCAGGGUAUGUGUUUCCUGGGAAAGCAUUAUUCCUCCUUCGAGCUGGGCCUCCGCUGCUCUGCUUUCCCGGAGCCAGGGGGCUGACAGGGCACGGGGUUGGUGACAGUCUCGUUCAGAACCAGAGGGCCGUGAAGCGGCAGCUCUGCCUGGGACCACGGAAACCACCAAGGCCGGGUCAGGUUUGGACCCCAGAGCAGGAAGGGUUCCUCCUGUCUUUAAAAACAGAAGCCGGAUAUUUAAGUUUUUCAAUGAAAUUUCAUAACUUAAACAUUAGCAAACCAACAGGCCCAUGGGAUGGCCCUCCUGGCCUGCGCCCCGAGUCCGACCUUCCUUUAACAGAUGCCACCCCGAGACUACGAGCAGUGGGGUCACUUGUCUAGGGCCCCCAGCCGUUGGAUGAUGAGGCUGGGGCUAGAACUCUGAUCUCUCGUGAUAACUGCAAAUCCUUUUUCCAGUGCUUCUGACAACCAUGCUGCAGGGGAGGGGACCCCGACGUGGCCUGGAGCGUUGUGCGGGCCCCUCGCUAUCUUCAAGACUUAACUAUAAACAAGUUAAAUAUACACGUUUUGCGUUAAGCACACAUCCGUCUGUGGUGUGCGGUUCGCGUAUGGUAUCUCAUAAGGUCCUGACACACGCAUUUGUGCGGCGGCCACGUUUGAAGGGAGGUGAGGCGUCCCAGGCCCCUCGUCCUCUCUCAUCUGAGACGUCGCCAGAUGCCCAGGGAUUCUUAACCAGUGGGGUGAAGACAGAGCUGAUGGAAGGCUUCUGCGCCCCACCCGUGAGAGGAGAUGACGCCCAGGGCCCCGUUGGGGAGGGUGGGAACCCCGCAGAAGGCCUGGAAUCCGCCUCCCACAUGCCCCUCCCCGGGGGGCACCGGCGGGGGCUCCCGUCGCACGCGCCCCUGCCGCUCUGUGCCCCUGUCUGUGGCUCGGUCACUUCCAGCCCUCAGCCUUUUUCGCUUUCACAUCUGUGAUCUCUGCAAUCUCUGGAAUGCGAGAGACCUGGCCUCCGGUCCCGGGCCACGCCUGCCGCGCGGCUGGGGGUAGAUUAUGGAGCUUUCGUUUUCUUAUCUGUGAGACUCAUCCGCUAGGAUUCGCUGAGACCAUGUGGCCAUGCCUGACGCGGGUCCCCAUCCCCCACCCGACAGUCAAAACUGGUCCCCCAAUGACAGUGUGUGCCCUAAAUGACAGGCUGGAUGCACAACUGCAGGGGGGGGGAAUUUCACGGUGACCGCGGCCUCCGGAGCCUGCCUGAGGACCCAGCUGUCCUGAAGAGGUGACGUGUCCCCGUCUGCAGGCUCAGGUCUGCGGAACCAUCUAACAAAAUGUCGAAUAGAAUUGGUGAUGAUAAAUUGAACUUCAAGAAAAUUAAAAUUUUCUCUUCAUCAAAAGAUAGCUUUCAAAAAAUGAACAGGCGAGCCAUAGGUUGGGCGGAGAUGCUUGCAGCACACAGAGCUGGAAAGGGGGUUGUGUCCGGAAUGUGUAAAGACUCCUACAAAGCAACACUCCAAGGAUGAACAGCCCAGCGCAAUAUGAACAAAAGGCUUGAGCAGCGUACGUGAGUGGCCGCAUGAAAAGGCACUCGCAACCAUGAGUCGUCACCGAAAUGCAGACCAAGCCGUAAGGAGCUGUGCUUCCCACUCACUGGCACGCGUGGGGUGUAAACAGACAGCCACUUGAGAGAACUCUGCAGUUUCUGCGUGAAUUAAACGUGCAUCUUUCCUGCGAUUUAGAAAUUCCACUGCCGGACACUUACCCGAGAGGAAGGUACAUGCACGUCCAUCCAAAGACUUGGAGAGAUGCUCGCAGCCGCUCGGACCGGAAGCCCCGGAAGCCCCGUCACCGGGACGUGGGAAGCAAGCGGCAUCACGCUCGCCCAGUGGGACACGGCUCGGUGAUGAUGUCAGCGGCCCGCCGCACGUGGGCGAACCCCCGAACCCGCAGGAGGCGAUGCCAGACGCAGGAGGCCACUGGCCGGGCGGGUCCGUUCACGUGAGUCCACAGCAGGAGGAAUCGAUCGGUCCAGGGGGGUGGAGGUUAGGGGUGAAGCGAAGCAUGUCCUGUGACUUGUUCGGUGUGGUGUUACGUGGGUGCAAACCAGUGAGAAAACACACUGAACUGAUUUAUAAGAUCUGCGUUUUAUUUCAUAGUUUUUGGAGAAGCGGAGAAGGGGCAUCGGCGCGCGAGUUCUUGCUCCGCCUCCGUGGGCUCGUCCCCUCUCCCUUGAGUUCGGCUGAGGCCGCCUUUCUUUCUGUUGCCCCGAAAGCCAGCACGGCCUUGCGCCAUGAAAAGGCCCCGGACCAGCUUCCCGUAACCCGACGGUGACCUUGGCAAGCUUUUGGAACCACAGUUUCCGCUGAUGCUUCACAUAUUUCACGGACAUAGUGGGGUGGCUUUUGUACACACGUCGAUUCAAACACGCACAUUGGGUUGGGCCUUCGGAAUCCAUGGAUUACACCCCGAAGCAGCCUCGGGCCCGUGGGCCAGAUGGAGAAGAAACUAACUCCCUUUCAUCUUAUGCACCUUUUCCUAUUUUCACAGGGUACGAAUUCAUUGUAGAGAAAGGUGCACAAGAGCGCACACCGGAGCAUGUGGGGCCACCUCUGAGCAGCUCCUGCUGCCUGCGAAGGGCCGUCCGGGCCCUCGACUGUGCGCGUAUUUUUCCCUAAAAAUUUUGAUCAUAUCACACAUACUACGUCAGUGACUUUCCAUUUCACAUAGAGUGAAAAAAUGUCCCAUGUGAUUAAAUAUUAUUGUACAACGCGAA